AAUAGAUACCCAGGUAGUCCAUGCCGUAAACGGUGGGCGCUAGGUGUGAGGGUCUUUCUACGACUUUCGUGCCGUAGCUAACGCAUUAAGCGCCCCGCCUGGGGAGUACGGCCGCAAGGCUAAAACUCAAAGGAAUUGACGGGGGCCCGCACAAGCGGCGGAGCAUGUGGAUUAAUUCGAUGCAGCGCGAAGAACCUUACCUGGGCUUGACAUACAUCGGAUCGCUGCAGAGAUGUAGUUUCCCUUUGUGGUUGGUGUACAGGUGGUGCAUGGUUGUCGUCAGCUCGUGUCGUGAGAUGUUGGGUUAAGUCCCACAACGAGCGCAACCCUUGUCUUAUGUUGCCAGCAUUUGGUUGGGGACUCAUGAGAGACUGCCGGGGUUAACUCGGAGGAAGGUGGGGAUGACGUCAAAUCAUUAUGCCCCUUAUGUCCAGGGCUUCACACAUGCUACAAUGGUCGGUACAACGCGCUGCGACACUGUGAGGUGGAGCGAAUCGCUGAAAGCCGGCCUUAGUUCGGAUUGGGGU
rnacentral:rRNA from 1 species